rnacentral:misc_RNA from 1 species
GAUGAAGAACGUAGCGAAAUGCGAUACUUGGUGUGAAUUGCAGAAUCCCGAGAACCAUCGAGUCUUUGAACGCAAGUUGCGCCUCAAGCCAUUAGGUUGAGGGCACGUCUGCCUGGGCGUCACAUAUCGUUGCCUGAUGCCAGUUUCCUCGUGAUGGGUGACUGUGCAGGGCGAAUGAUGGCUUCCCGUGAGCAUUGUUGCCUCAUGGUUGGUUGAAAAUUGAGUCCUUGGUAGGGAGCGCCGUGAUAGAUGGUGGUUGAGUGACGAACGAGACCCAAUCAUGUGAGACCCCUACCGAAUUUGGCCUUCAUGACCCACAUGCGUCUUUGGAACGCUCAUGACGAGACCUCAGGUCAGGCGGGGCUACCCGCUGAGUUUAAGCAUAUCAAUAAGCGGAGGA